rnacentral:rRNA from 1 species
GACGAACGCUGGCGGCGUGCCUAAUACAUGCAAGUAGAACGCUGAAGGAGGAGCUUGCUUCUCUGGAUGAGUUGCGAACGGGUGAGUAACGCGUAGGUAACCUGCCUGGUAGCGGGGGAUAACUAUUGGAAACGAUAGCUAAUACCGCAUAAGAGUAGAUGUUGCAUGACAUUUGCUUAAAAGGUGCAAUUGCAUCACUACCAGAUGGACCUGCGUUGUAUUAGCUAGUUGGUGGGGUAACGGCUCACCAAGGCGACGAUACAUAGCCGACCUGAGAGGGUGAUCGGCCACACUGGGACUGAGACACGGCCCAGACUCCUACGGGAGGCAGCAGUAGGGAAUCUUCGGCAAUGGACGGAAGUCUGACCGAGCAACGCCGCGUGAGUGAAGAAGGUUUUCGGAUCGUAAAGCUCUGUUGUAAGAGAAGAAUGAGUGUGAGAGUGGAAAGUUCACACUGUGACGGUAUCUUACCAGAAAGGGACGGCUAACUACGUG